AUUGAACGCUGGCGGCAGGCCUAACACAUGCAAGUCGAGCGGAACGGCGGACGGGUGAGUAAUGCCUAGGAAUCAGCCUGGUAGUCGGGGAUCACGUACGGCAACGGGCGCUAAUAUCGCAUACUAUCAGAUGAGACUAGGUCGGAUGAGCUAGUGGGUGGGUUAAAGGCCUCCCAAGGCGACGAGCCGUAACUGGUCUGAGAGGAUGAUCAGUAAAACGGGAACUGGGACACGGUCCAGACUCCGAGGGGAGGCAGCAGUGGGGAAUAUGGGAAAAUGGGGGAAAGCCUGAUCCAGCCAUGCCGCGUGUGUGAAGAAGGUCUUGGGAUGGUAAAGCACGUUAAGUUGGGAGGCGUUACCAACAGAAUAAGCACCGGCUAACUUCGUGCCAGCCGCCGCGGUAAUUC
rnacentral:rRNA from 1 species